rfam:Oryza rufipogon genomic scaffold, chr11
GGAUGCGAUCAUACCAGCACUAAAGCCCUGGAUCCCAUUAGAACUCCGAAGUUAAGCGUGCUUGGUUGAGAGUAGUACUAGGAUGGGUGACCUCCUGGGAAGUCCUCAUGUUGCAUCCC